UUUUGUGGUAGCAUAAGCUAUUUCAAUUCUUAUCGAUAUUGCUGAAAGCGUCUUAAUACAAACUGGUCAUAGCACGAUGGUCUGUGGAAUAGGAAUUUUGUAAGUUUGUAUUCUGUGACAGAAGAUAGAAGAUGCUGGCACCUGACCCCAUCCGACAGAUGGAUCACUAUCAACAGUGUCACGUGUGCACUCAGUGAGAUGCUGUGGGGAGGUUUCAAAUUUAAUAUAGAGCAUUUGUCCAGAGUGUAAUGAAAUGAAACUGCUACGCAAAAAUAAAAAUUGUUAAUUGA